rnacentral:tRNA from 1 species
GCCGGAGUAGCUCAAUGGCGGAGCAGUUGCUUUGUAAGCAUCAGGUUGUGGGUUCAAAUCCCACCUCCGGCU